CAUUUGGACUGGGUCAGAUCAGUCCGCCCUAAGCUUCCCGUAUCCUAAGGAAUUUGGUGGCUGAUCCUGAAAUUUGAGGCUAGGAUCCCUUUUGGUAUUGGAGCAGCGCUGCUUGAUUGCGUGUCGUGGUGGAUUUUGGUCCUGGUACUUUUGUGUAUGUGAUUUUGGUUGUUGGAAUAGUGUUGGCUGGUGGCAAAUUUUGUGGAGUUUGGCUGUGCUUGGAGUAUUCGGCUAUAGUUUGGCUCUAUGUGUGGAGUGUUAAAUCUGUAGUUGUAGGUUGUUGGAAGCCUAGAAUGUGGCUGGAUGUCUUUUGUGUAUGGAACAUGUAUUCUAGAUUAUUAUCAAUGGCUGCAACAUAUUCUAUUGUAUGGGCUGAUUAUUAUAAUUAUGCAAUUGCUAAUGAGGUCUA